rnacentral:rRNA from 1 species
AGAGUUUGAUCCUGGCUCAGGAUGAACGCUAGCGACAGGCUUAACACAUGCAAGUCGAGGGGCAUCAUGAGGUAGCAAUACCUUGAUGGCGACCGGCGCACGGGUGAGUAACGCGUAUGCAACCUGCCUGAUACCGGGGUAUAGCCCAUGGAAACGUGGAUUAACACCCCAUAGUACUUUUAUCCUGCAUGGGAUGUGAGUUAAAUGUUUAAGGUAUCGGAUGGGCAUGCGUCCUAUUAGUUAGUUGGCGGGGUAACAGCCCACCAAGACGAUGAUAGGUAGGGGUUCUGAGAGGAAGGUCCCCCACAUUGGAACUGAGACACGGUCCAAACUCCUACGGGAGGCAGCAGUGAGGAAUAUUGGUCAAUGGACGAGAGUCUGAACCAGCCAAGUCGCGUGAGGGAAGACUGCCCUAUGGGUUGUAAACCUCUUUUAUAAGGGAAGAAUAAGUUCUACGUGUAGAAUGAUGCCUGUACCUUAUGAAUAAGCAUCGGCUAACUCCGUGCCAGCAGCCGCGGUAAUACGGAGGAUGCGAGCGUUAUCCGGAUUUAUUGGGAUUAAAGGGUGCGUAGGCGGUUUAUUAAGUUAGUGGUUAAAUAUUUGAGCUAAACUCAAUUGUGCCAUUAAUACUGGUAAACUGGAGUACAGACGAGGUAGGCGGAAUAAGUUAAGUAGCGGUGAAAUGCAUAGAUAUAACUUAGAACUCCGAUAGCGAAGGCAGCUUACCAGACUGUAACUGACGCUGAUGCACGAGAGCGUGGGUAGCGAACAGGAUUAGAUACCCUGGUAGUCCACGCCGUAAACGAUGCUCACUGGUUCUGUGCGAUAUAUUGUACGGGAUUAAGCGAAAGUAUUAAGUGAGCCACCUGGGGAGUACGUCGGCAACGAUGAAACUCAAAGGAAUUGACGGGGGCCCGCACAAGCGGAGGAACAUGUGGUUUAAUUCGAUGAUACGCGAGGAACCUUACCUGGGUUUAAAUGGGAAAUGCCGUAUUUGGAAACAGAUAUUCUCUUCGGAGCGUUUUUCAAGGUGCUGCAUGGUUGUCGUCAGCUCGUGCCGUGAGGUGUCGGGUUAAGUCCCAUAACGAGCGCAACCCUUACCGUUAGUUGCUAGCAUGUAAUGAUGAGCACUCUAACGGGACUGCCACCGUAAGGUGAGAGGAAGGCGGGGAUGACGUCAACUCAGCACGGCCCUUACACCCAGGGCUACACACG